UUUCCUAAAGACCACACACACACACACAAGACCAGACACACACGAUCCAGGGGAAGCCCUUCUUGAGUACUGUUGUCUAUAAAUAGGCCAACCAACUGUCAGUGGAAGCACUACAUGCUGACUCAAUUUCCCUACAGGAUCUCUUUCAGGCACCUCCAAUAGACGUUGAUAUGGCAAGCAAAAAGAACAAGUUUGCUAGUGCUGUGAUAAGAGAGUGUAAAAUAAUGAGUUUGAAAUAUUUAUAUGCACUGCAUGUUUGUUUGGUAACUAGCCAGUCACGCUUACAAAAAUGUAAUUGUUGCGGCAAUCUUCCUGCAAACUAAAUAGUGUGCCAGAAGUUUGCAAAUGUUUGACACUGGUGGAUAAUCUGCAGCAAACCUUUGGCAACAAUAAUAUUUAUUGCAACUAGUGGCAAAUUGUUUACCAGAAGCCAUUUCUGGUGAACACAUGAGUUCCAAGACCAGUAACCGUUGACGACCAGUCAGCAGGGGGAGAAGAAGAAUCCGUUGGAAAAUGGAAACCAAACUAUCUAGCUGGCUUCCUACCGAAGUUGUCCGGCCCCACCUAACCUGAAGUCAGUGCUGCUGGCUGUAGCCUUUGGCAACGUCAUUGUGCUGAUCGUAACCAAGGGGGCGGGUCUGAAUCAGCGGGAUUUGGACUGGGGACAUCUCAACCAACGGACGUCUACCUCGUUACUGCUGUGCGGUGCUUCUCUACGCUGUUCGCCUGUUGACACGGGGACAUGCCCGACGCAACUGCGAGAGGCUUCACCCAACACUGAAACCCAGCAGGCCCGGCACAACGCGAGACCACCAAGCAACCAGCCACAGACAACCGUGCCAGGCUACCAAGAGCUCAACUCAUACAACGCUCUCUAUAGCACUAUUUUUCUCCAGCAUGUGAGUGCAACUCCAAUUGUUGGCCAGUACAUGCUCUAAUUGUAAGUUUUGUGUGCCCCGAGGCUACAGACACAGGGGACACAUUCGACGAGGCUACAGACACCGGGGACUCAUCCGACGAGGCUACAGACACCGGGGACUCAUCCGACGAGGCUACAGACACCGGGGACUCAUCCGACGAGGCUGAGAGGCCUCGUAUUCAUGGAUGCCAAGGGAAGACAGGAUUUUUUUUAAAUAUAACUUUAGUAUCAAUAUUUCAUCAUUUUCUUUCAAGUCAUAAUUUUUAUUUUACCUUUAUUUAACUAGGCAAGUCAGUUAAGAACAAAUUCCUAUUUUCAAUGACGGCCUAGGAACAGUGGGUUAACUGCCUGUUCAGGGGCAGAACGACAUAUUUGUACCAUGUCAGCUCGGGGGGUCGAACGUUCUAACCACUAGGCUACCCUGCCGCCCCAAGAGGCUGAAUGUAUCUCACCAGAGAAAGUACCUGAGCGAGCACCCACCGUCCCUAUGUGUUGACCAUCUAUCUGAUUCUCUCUGGUCAAAAAUGGUAUGAUUAUUGUUGACGCCUGUAGCAUUGAAUGCAAGGGAAGCCAGCAAGGAUUUGGCCUCCCUUGAUUAAAACAUUAUAUAAUAAUAGCCAAUCAGCUUCGAAUUAAACUGAGUGAGCUCAACUGUGAAUGGUCCUGGCGAACCAAAACAAAGUGUCAAGGGAGGCCAGUUUGGAUUUGGCUUCACACCCAUCACAUCAAGGUGAAUGUCUUUGACAGAAAAAAAAAAAAUUACUACAUUACUAUGAAAACCAAACACUGGAUUUACAGAGGUUUAAAUGGAAACGUAAAAUCAAAUUAACUGAGCCAUCUUUUGACCAAUCCCUAAACUUUUCUCAAACUAAGUUAAGACAUGUACCAUGGAUAUACAUUCCAUAUUUGGUUCUAUGGUUCAUGAGAAGAUUUUUGAAGUAUUUUUAGCAUUUAGUGUGGCUAUAUUUGAAUGCAUAAAUGUUGUUUUCUCAAACUCUUUAGGGACUAUUGUGAUUAGUCCAAGGACCACAUUUGGAGUGAAUUUGACUUUUAGUCCAUGAGAAUAACAUUUUGUAUGAUUUGAUUUUAAUUACUAGCAUUACAUAGUCAAAAGUGAAUUGUUAAUGGUUUUCUUAAUUGCUUAAGAUAUCAAUGUUCAUCAUAGUAAUGGUUUUGUUUCCAUUAUGGCCAUUGUGGAGUGGAUUUACAAAGGAUCUAAAUGGACAAGUAAAAUCUGAUGUAUCAAUUACUCAGCCGUCUCUUAACCAAUCCCUUAGCUUUUCUCAAACUAAGUUAAUGGUUUGGGUGUUAUUUGGACUUAUGGUUCAUGAGAGGUUUUUCAAAUGUUUUCAGAAAUUUCCAAGAUAGAGGGAAAUCUAUCCUGACAAACCUUGUGGGUCCCUGAGGCAAAUGUUUUCAGCACGAGGAAAGAAAUAUUAAUACAAAGUUUCAAGUCUCUUGGUCAAAUGGAGAGAAGAAUGAGGGUUUACGUGAGGCUGCUUAUAACAGAGCCACCUAUAGGCCAAUCAGUGCCAUUAUUAUUGACCAAGCUACUCAUGGCCUCUAGUUUUUGUGUGCCAAAUUAGAAUAAACAGU